rnacentral:rRNA from 1 species
UACGUAGGGUGCGAGCGUUAAUCGGAAUUACUGGGCGUAAAGUGUGCGCAGGCGGCCGAGCAAGUCGAGUGUGAAAGCCCCGGGCUUAACUUGGGAAUUGCGCUCGAAACUACUUGGCUGGAGUGUGGCAGAGGAAGGUGGAAUUCCAGGUGUAGCGGUGAAAUGCGUAGAUAUUGGGAAGAACACCGAUGGCGAAGGCAGCCAUCUGGACCGACACUGACGCUGAGGCGCGAAAGCGUGGGGAGCAAACAGG